rnacentral:misc_RNA from 1 species
GAUGAAGAACGUAGCGAAAUGCGAUAAGUAAUGUGAAUUGCAGAAUUCAGUGAAUCAUCGAAUCUUUGAACGCACAUUGCGCCCGCCAGUAUUCUGGCGGGCAUGCCUGUCCGAGCGUCAUUUCAACCCUCGAACCCCUCCGGGGGGUCGGCGUUGGGGAUCGGCACUUACCUGCCGGCCCCGAAAUACAGUGGCGGUCUCGCCGCAGCCUCUCCUGCGCAGUAGUUUGCACACUCGCACCGGGAGCGCGGCGCGUCCACGGCCGUAAAACAACCCAAGCUUCUGAAAUGUUGACCUCGGAUCAGGUAGGAAUACCCGCUGAACUUAAGCAUAUCAAUAAGCGGAGGA